CCUACGGGUGGCAGCAGUGAGGAAUAUUGGUCAAUGGGCGCGAGCCUGAACCAGCCAAGUAGCGUGAAGGAUGACUGCGCUAAGGGUUGUAAACUUCUUUUAUAAAGGAAUAAAGUGAGGCACGUGUGCAUUUUUGUGUGUACUUUAUGAAUAAGGAUCGGCGAACUCCGUGCAAGCAGCCGCGGUAAUACGGAGGAUCCGAGCGUUAUCCGGAUUUAUGGGGUUUAAAGGGAGGGUAGGUGGGUUGUUAAGUCAGUGGGUAAAGUUGGGGGCUCAACCGCAAAAUAGCAGUUGAUACUGGCUGUCUUGUGUACAGGUGAGGUAGGCGGAAUGCGCGGUGUAGCGGUGAAAUGCUUAGAUAUCACGAAGAACUCCGAUUGCGAAGGCAGCUUACCGGCCUCCCACUGACACUGAGGCUCGAAAGCGUGGGUAUCAAACAGGAUUAGAUACCCCAGUAGUC
rnacentral:rRNA from 1 species